GUUGCUUGGCUACGGCUCUUUGCUGGAGCCUGCCCGGCGCAGUUCGCAUGAUUAAGCAAAUGCCUUUCCUGGUGCUAGUAGGAACUUUCACCACCACCACCCCCAUUCCCCUCCAACCUUUGCUAGAGGAGAGAAGCCAGAGCCUGGAGGCCAAGUCCUUCAAACUCCAUUGCGACUCCUCCCGGCAGGGCGCGGCCUAAAGCCCACGGCGGAACGCUGGACUUAGACCAGGGAUGUCAGCAGGUCUGUCUGUCGGAGCAGAGGCUCUCCGGAAAAGGAAUACAGCUGGCAUCAAUCAGAUCCACAUCCCUGAGAGGACUGCAUCAACUCUUUUGGGAACUGUCUUCCCACCUUGAUGCCCUGCGCUGUGCAGCUUCUGAAAAUGGUGUGUCCUUAUGGCAACCUCUGUAUUUCUGUGUAAGAGAGGGUUUGGAUUUGGUUAUUUCAGUGCUGGGUGGCCCUUUCUCUGUCACACUCCCCAAAAAGUGAACCAAACCACACUCCAAGUUUAGCAAAAUGUGGACAACCAUCAGUAUCAUUUUUAUUGUAAAUUAGUUAACAAAAAAAAGAUGAAAAAAAUACAUCAUUUUCAUUACCUACA
ensembl:processed_transcript 0610009E02Rik RIKEN cDNA 0610009E02 gene